rnacentral:rRNA from 1 species
GAUGAACGCUGGCGGCGUGCCUAAUACAUGCAAGUCGAGCGAACGGACGAGAAGCUUGCUUCUCUGAUGUUAGCGGCGGGCGGGUGAGUAACACGUGGCUAACCUACCUAUAAGACUGGGAUAACUUCGGGAAACCGGAGCUAAUACCGGAUAAUAUUUUGAACCGCAUGGUUCAAAAGUGAAAGACGGUCUUGCUGUCACUUAUAGAUGGAUCCGAGCUGCAUUAGCUAGUUGGUAAGGUAACGGCUUACCAAGGCAACGAUGCAUAGCCGACCUGAGAGGGUGAUCGGCCACACUGGAACUGAGACACGGUCCAGACUCCUACGGGAGGCAGCAGUAGGGAAUCUUCGGCAAUGGGCGAAAGCCUGACGGAGCAACGCCGCGUGAGUGAUGAAGGUCUUCGGAUCGUAAAGCUCUGUUAUUAGGGAAGAACAGAUGUGUAAGUAUCUGUGCACAUCUUGACGGUACCUAAUCAGAAAGCCACGGCUAACUACGUG